rnacentral:rRNA from 1 species
UACGAAGGGGGCUAGCGUUGCUCGGAAUUACUGGGCGUAAAGGGCGCGUAGGCGGACAGGUUAGUCAGAGGUGAAAGCCCAGGGCUCAACCUUGGAAUUGCCUUUGAUACUGGCUGUCUUGAGUUCGGGAGAGGUGAGUGGAAUGCCGAGUGUAGAGGUGAAAUUCGUAGAUAUUCGGCGGAACACCAGUGGCGAAGGCGACUCACUGGCCCGAUACUGACGCUGAGGCGCGAAAGCGUGGGGAGCAAACAGG